rnacentral:rRNA from 1 species
GGGUUCAAGCAGGGCAGAUCCAUUUUCUGCCACCGAAUACAUUAGCAUGGGAUAAUGGAAUAGGACCCUGUCCUCCUAUUUUCAGUUGGUUUUGGCAGCGCGAGGACUAGGGUAAUGAUUAAUAGGGAUAGUUGGGGGCAUUAAUAUUUAAUUGUCAGAGGUGAAAUUCUUGGAUUUAUGAAAGAUUAACUUCUGCGAAAGCAUCUGCCAAGGAUGUUUUCAUUAAUCAAGAACGAAAGUUAGGGGAUCGAAGACGAUCAGAUACCGUCGUAGUCUUAACCAUAAACGAUGCCGACCAGCGAUUAGGAGACGUUGAAUACAAAACACCACCAUCGGCGCGGUCGUCCUUGGCGUCGGUCCUUCGGGGCCGGGGCGAGGGGGGGUUAUACCGGGGGGGCCGGGGAAAGAGACCCCAUCCCUCGGUGAGAGAA